AUGUGAUGUCCUGGACAGGCUAAACAUUCACUAUGUGAAGACUAUACCUGUGUCCCCAGACCUACUGCUUUCCCUAAGUCUGGCUUUAUAAACCCUGGUGAUACGC
rnacentral:snoRNA from 1 species